ensembl:lncRNA
CACAGGGCUCAAACCCACGAACUCGCGAGAUCAUGACCUGAGCCGAAGUGGGUUGCUUAACUGACUGAGCCACCCAGGCGCCCCAAGGGAGCACUCUUUUUUAGAAGCAUCUGCUAAAUGGCAUUAGCGUUCAUUCACAAGCAUCUGUUAAUUGUGGUAUGUUGAUACAAGCUAAAAUGAAUAUUAUUUAGAUACAGAAAGAUUUUAUUCCACUUAAUGUAAGAGGAGGAGCAAAACAAGUCCUGGAGAUAGAGGCAGAUCAACAGAGGAAGUAGGAGAAAUCCUAGCUCAAUGUCUACCGUAGACUAUAGUUUUAAUGGAUCCAGUAUCCCCAGCAUGUAGAAUAGUAUCCAACACAUAUUUGAUGCUGGCUGGUUAGAUGAAUGUGCUAAGAAAACAAAGGAAAGGGGGUUAGAAAAUUUAUAACAGGAUCAGAGUAAUAAGGUAUCCAGUCAAUAAUACAAAUAUGUAAAGAAAGGGUAACAAUUUAAUGAUGUAGUUAAGAGCAGAAUCGUUAGAGUCUGAAGAUUCUAGGUUCAAAUCCUGACCAUUUAACAACACUGACCUUGAAAAAGGUAUUUAAUUUCUCUAAGCAUUACUUUCUUCAGUGAACAUUAGGAUAAUGGGCAUUUUUUGUUGUGAACACUAAACGAGCUAAGAAUUAUUUCUUUGUUUUUAUUUGUAGCUAUAAAUUCCACCCGUUAAGGAUAACGAUUGUGUUCAUGACCUUAUUUUAGAGCAUCAAAAAAUGCUGGGCACUUAUUUCAUAAAUAUUUGAUAAAUGAGUUACAAGAUAUGAAAUACUUAAUACUGUGUUUUCCAUGUAAUAAGCCCAUAGUUAAUAAUAGCCCAUGGUUAUUUUUCUUUUCAUUGCAUUGCAGGAAGGCCAAUAUGACAGUCAGCUAAUUCCCCAUUGGUGACAGAAGCUAUCUGUUAUAAAAACAAACAAUCCAAUUAGGACUGUGGCAGUUAAUAAGAGGUCAGUUGUGCCCAAAUCUGCUUAUUCAAAGGGAGCUUGACUGUGCUGUCCUUAGACUUUGGUCAGCAUCUACAGAUUCUAAUCAAGGAGGUUGGAGCUGUUGGGAAGUUGCAUUACAAGGAGGUAAGGCAGCCGAUUUGGGUUUGUGCAAAGACCAAGCCAACUGGCUGUGUAAAGGGACAAAAUCUACCCUUAUAGGUAGGAAGUAGGUAGGGAUUCAGGAACACAGCCUGCUAAGAGGUGACCAGCUAAAAGACAAAACUCACAUAUUUUAAAAUUAGAGCUGGAUUUGGAUUCUGGCUCCACUCUUGAUUAGUAAGCUAUUUAAUUACUUUGAGCCUCAAUUUCCAUAUCUUGAAAACAGGCAUAAGAAUGUCUUUGUUGAAGAUAUGUCAUGAAUAUUUUGAAAAGAGAUGAUAUAUAUGAAGCAAUCAGUUCCUGAUACACACAAGAUGCUCAGUAAGCUAGCUGUUAUUAUUACCAGGUGAUGACGAUAAUGAUAAUGAUGUUGAUCAUUAUGAUUCAGAGCUGUGUACCAUUCUUAGUGAAAAGCAUGGUGCAAACCGGGAAUAGAAGUGAGAUAGCACUGGAGUAGGGUAUGAAUAAACCCAGCUGUUCUAUUUGGGCA